AUGAGACGACUCUUUCUUGAACAAUUUCAUAAGCAGAUCUUCCCCUCCACACCAAUCACGAGUUCGAUUCGGAUCCCUCUGUUGUUUCCCUUUCCUCCCGAACCUUUUCCUCGAAAUGAUAAAGAAUCUGGUACACUCGAAUUGUAUUAUUUAAGUGCUUAUUGCUUGCCAAAAAUCCUAAAAGAGAAUUUUUAG
rnacentral:rRNA from 1 species